CAGGACGCGCGCUUGUGCGCAUGUCCCCGCGCAGGGUCGGGCGCUGGGGUGUGGAGACUGAACCUUGCAGACACCCGGGUCCGCACGUCUGGGAUGGACGUGCUGGAACAGCCCAGAUGAUGUAUUUAAUAGUAUUCUUUUAGCCCAACGCGAGAAUGUUUUCGUCUGGUUGUUUUUGUUUUUCGUUUUUAGAGACAGUCUCGCUAUAUUACCCAGGCUGGAGUGCAGUGUCAAGAUCUCGACUCACUGCAGCCUUGAACUCCUGGGCUCAAGUGAUCCUCCCACAGUGCUGGGAUUACAGGCGUGAGCCACCGCACCCGGCCUCUAGUUCUGUCUUUUUGCUCAGUAUUAGAAUUCGUAAGUUCUGGCCCCAGCAACUCGUCCUUUCAUCUGUCUCAAGUUGCACUGUGGUGGUCACAGGAGCUGUCCUGCACCUUGCACAUGUGGCCAUGAACAAGACUCGCUCCUUGCUCUCAUGGGGCCUUCAUUCCAGUGAGACACAAAUGCAAACACAAAAUUCCAGAAGAGUGCUGAGUGCUAUCAUGAGAAACGAAGACAGGCUGGAAGAUGGGCUCUGACCCCAGAAAACCGAUGGAGAGGCCCAAGCAGCCUUGGGAGCAACAGGCAAGUUGGAGGACACACGGCAAGGCUACUUGGAAGUAGGGGAGGGUGCAUGGGAAACCCUGAGGCUGUGGGGGGAGAGGCAGGAGCCAGGUGAAGUCCAGGUAGAUGGCAGUGGAGAUGUAAGAACAUGGUGGAAUUUUUUUGUUUUUGAGACGGAGUCUUGCUCUGUCCCCCAGGGUGGAGUGCAAUGGUGAGAUCUCAACUCACUGCAACUUCCGCCUCCCAGGUUCAAGCGAUUCUCUGGGAUUAUAGGCACCUGCCACCAUGCCCAGCUAAUUUUUGUAUUUUUUAGUAGAGAUGGGUUUUCACCAUGUUGGUCAGGCUAGUCUCGAACUCCUGACCGCGGGUGAUCCGCCCGCCUCAGCUUCCCAAAGUGCUGGGAUUACAGGCGUGAGCCACCGCGCCUGGCCAGAACAUGGUGGAAUUUGAGUGUGCUUGGGAAUACACUUAUAGGACUUGCUGAUUAGUUGAAUGAGGAAAUAAAAGAACGAAGAAUAUCUUCUGGGAUUUCAGCCUGAGCAACUGGGUUGCUGGUGGAUGGUGGUUCUCUUAUCAAGGAUGGGAAAGAUGGGUUGUCUCCCCUAAAAUACUGAGUUUUAAAGGCAGGGACUGUAUCUUUGCAGUCCUGGCUCCUAGCAAGGGCCUAGCCCUUAUAUGACAUUCGUGAAUGUUGAAAUGAAUGUGACACGCCUGAAACAAUCCUUCUCCCUCACCUAGGCCCACAUCUCCAAGUCAAUAUUCCAGUACAAGCCACAUCCAGUCCCCUCACUGACACACACAGGCCUGGGCCCAGGAGCUCACCCCUGUGCUGUAAGGCUAGGUGCAUGUGUUAUUUCCAGAGUCUACCCUUGGAGGUGCCUCAGACUCCUGGGUACCUGUCGCUGGGAGGUAGCCAGUCAUGCUGUCCACAUACAUGCUUUUGGGCAGUAGAGAAGCUGAUCAUUGGGAAGGUUUAUUUCCUGUCUCCACAACAGGAGGCAGGUCACAGCAGUGGCCACACAGUGCACAAAAGGCCAUCCCCUCACAGCCGCAUGGUUGGCAUGCAGC
rnacentral:lncRNA from 10 species